rnacentral:lncRNA from 1 species
UAAUUUUUUUAUAUAUUAUAGGUACCGUUUGGUUUGAGAACAAGCUAUUUAUGUUUAUUCUUGGGAUAGAUAUAACUUCUAGAAUAUAUAGAAAUUAAUUCAAUUUUGUGUUUGGAUGAGAAUCGAGAUAUUUAGAGAAAUAAAAAAAAUUACGUUUGGUUAAUUGGAUUGGAAUAGUAGGAAUAAAAGUAAUUACGAUGGAAAAUAAAACUAAUUUAUCACUUUAGAUACCCCUGUGGUUUCGCAGUUUCUCACUUUAGUACCAUGUGGUUUAAAGUGUAUCAAGUUAGUACCCUGUGGUUUCGCAAUUUCUCGCUUUAGUACCUUAUGGUUUAAAGUGUAUUAAGUUAGUACUCUAUGGUUUCACAUUUUCUCACUUUAGUACCAUGUGGUUUAAUAUUUCGUUAAAUUAUAUACAAAAAAACUUCAGAUACGUACCCUGCCUAGGUUUAUCGAAUAUUUAUUUUAGUACCCUUUAGUUUUAACUUUAUCACUGUCAUUGAUUUAACGAAAAAAAUACACCGAAAUGGAUAAUAAAAAGAGUAAAAUAAAACCAUAGGAUAUACUAACUUGAUACAAAAAUGAAAUCACAGAAUACUAACUUAAUAUACUUUAAACCAUAGGGUGCUAAAGUGAGAAAGUGCGAAACCACAGGGUACUAACUUGAUACACUUUAAACCAUAGGAUACUAAAGUGAGAAACUGCGAAACCACAAGGGGGCUAUUUGAAGUUUUCCCUUUAUCUAAAUAUUAAACAUCUAAGUAUUAGCAAAUAAUAUUUUAAUAAGUUAACAAAUAAAUUAAUCAAAAGUACUUUAUAAAUUAAUUAAAAUUACUAUAGAGCUGACAAAGAUGACAUUAAUUAGUAAAUAACUAUAAAAAAUAAGUCAACAUGUUAAUAGUAAUUAAUUAUUUAAUCAUUUAUUUUUAGUUAAUAUAUUAAUUAUAUAAAUUAAAAUACUAAUUAUUUAAAUAAUGUAAAUAUUAGUUAAUAAUUGAAUAAGCAUAUCACAUGGCUAACUAUUUAAUUACAUAAAUAAUAAAAAAUUAUAAAUAGAUUAUUAUUUAAAUAUUUAUUAAUUUAAUAAAUUAAAUAAUUAAUUAGUCAAUUAUUAAAAAAAUUAAUUGCAUUAAUUAAUUAUAAUUUAUAAUUAUUUAUAACUUAAUUAGUAGAAGAGGUAGAGAAUAACUUGUUUCACCCAAUAGGUGGAACUAUUAUUCUCCCUCUUAACGGAUUAUUCCAGAAUAAUCCGUUAAGAGGAGAAUAGUAGUUCUUGACAACUUUUGACACCAUUUGGAAGAAUAAGAGGAAUAAAUCCCUUAUUCCUCCUUUAUUCUUUGAACCAAACAUACCUAGCAUUUGGAUCGGGGAUAAGGGGAGGGAUAACCCCUUAUCCCCCUUUAUACCCAAACAUAAAUUUUUUAUUCGAGAAUAGUAGUUCUCGGCUACUUGAAAUAAGCUAGUAUAACUAUCCUCACCAACACCUCUAUUUUCUAUACUACCCACUAUUUUUCUGAUUCCAUAUUAUUUAUCCAAAUGUUAUUUUUCUUAUCUCUGAAAACAACCCAAUUUUCAUCCAAACGCUAUUUUUCUUAUCCCCAUAUUUGUACCUAUUCCUGUAAUAGCUAGUUCUUGGUUAUACCCGAACCAAAUGAAGAAACAAUAUAUGCCCAACUCAAAGCCCAAUAUUUC